CCUACGGGAGGCAGCAGUGGGGAAUAUUGGACAAUGGGGGCAACCCUGAUCCAGCCAUGCCGCGUGUGUGAAGAAGGCCCUCGGGUUGUAAAGCACUUUCAGUGAGGAAGAACGCCUGGUGGUUAAUACCCAUCAGGAAAGACAUCACUCACAGAAGAAGCACCGGCUAACUCCGUGCCAGCAGCCGCGGUAAUACGGAGGGUGCGAGCGUUAAUCGGAAUUACUGGGCGUAAAGCGAGCGUAGGUGGCUUGAUAAGCCGGUUGUGAAAGCCCCGGGCUCAACCUGGGAACGGCAUCCGGAACUGUCAAGCUAGAGUGCAGGAGAGGAAAGUAGAAUUCCCGGUGUAGCGGUGAAAUGCGUAGAGAUCGGGAGGAAUACCAGUGGCGAAGGCGGCCUUCUGGACUGACACUGACGCUGAGGUGCGAAAGCGUGGGUAGCAAACAGGAUUAGAUACCCUUGUAGUC
rnacentral:rRNA from 1 species